rnacentral:rRNA from 1 species
UACGGGGGGGGGCAAGCGUUGUUCGGAAUUACUGGGCGUAAAGAGCGUGUAGGCGGCCAGGUAGGUCGGUUGUGAAAACUGGAGGCUCAACCUUCAGACGUCGACCGAAACCAUCUGGCUAGAGUCCGGGAGAGGAGAGUGGAAUUCCUGGUGUAGCGGUGAAAUGCGCAGAUAUCAGGAAGAACACCCGUGGCGAAAGCGGCUCUCUGGAACGGUACUGACGCUGAGACGCGAAAGCGUAGGGAACGAACAGG